AUUGAACGCUGGCGGCAUGCCUUACACAUGCAAGUCGAACGGCAGCACGGGUGCUUGCACCUGGUGGCGAGUGGCGAACGGGUGAGUAAUACAUCGGAACGUACCUUAUCGUGGGGGAUAACGCAGCGAAAGUUGCGCUAAUACCGCAUACGCCCUGAGGGGGAAAGCGGGGGACCGUAAGGCCUCGCGCGAUUGGAGCGGCCGAUGUCAGAUUAGGUAGUUGGUGAGGUAAAGGCUCACCAAGCCGACGAUCUGUAGCUGGUCUGAGAGGACGACCAGCCACACUGGGACUGAGACACGGCCCAGACUCCUACGGGAGGCAGCAGUGGGGAAUUUUGGACAAUGGACGCAAGUCUGAUCCAGCCAUUCCGCGUGCAGGACGAAGGCCUUCGGGUUGUAAACUGCUUUUGUACGGAACGAAAAAGCUCUUACUAAUACUAGGAGUCCAUGACGGUACCGUAAGAAUAAGCACCGGCUAACUACGUGCCAGCCGCCGCAGUAA
rnacentral:rRNA from 1 species